ensembl:lncRNA
CAGGAACCCCAGCGUGGUCAGCACCUGUGUGGGCACGGACAACCCCUGGCUCCUGGCUGUGUGGCGCUCUAGGGCCGGCCGCAGCUCUGCGCACAGCUCCAGUAAUACUGGCCUGGGGAAACGAAAUCGGCUCAUGAGCCAAUCAUCAUCAUUUGCGAUUUCCCAGCGUCACCUCUAAGGCCCCGUCCACACGAAGCCGAUUUCAUGGCGAAACCGCAAAGGUCUUGUACGGUUCGGCCUUCCGUCCACACGAAGCCGGCGAAUCCGCUGACCGAAACCGCAAACUUCUGAAACCACCCUCGGAGGUGGUUUCAAAUCUACCCGGUUUCGUUUUGGAUUCGUGUGGACGCCUGAAACCGACUGAAACCGCAAACCAUGACGUCAUCGCCCCCUUCGAUCCUCUAGCCAAUGACUGUUAAGCCCGCGGAGUCUCACCCUUUAUGCGCAUGCUCGCCUCUUUUCUUAUUUAUUUUCCUUCUGGAUUUCUGUAGCAGAAGCAGCGCCCCUUAUGGGCCUGGCUUGUGUACUACAGCGUUUC